rnacentral:rRNA from 1 species
AGUGAACGCUGGCGGCAGGCCUAACACAUGCAAGUCGAGCGGCAGCGCGGGGCAACCUGGCGGCGAGCGGCUGACGGGUGAGGAAUGCAUCGGAAUCUACCCUGUCGUGGGGGAUAACGUAGGGAAACUUACGCUAAUACCGCAUACGACCGAGAGGUGAAAGUGGGGGACCGCAAGGCCUCACGCGAUUGGAUGAGCCGAUGCCGGAUUAGCUAGUUGGUGGGGUAAAGGCCCACCAAGGCGACGAUCCGUAGCUGGUCUGAGAGGAUGAUCAGCCACACUGGGACUGAGACACGGCCCAGACUCCUACGGGAGGCAGCAGUGGGGCAAUAUUGGACAAUGGGCGCAAGCCUGAUCCAGCCAUGCCGCGUGUGUGAAGAAGG